AGAGUUUGAUCAUGGCUCAGAUUGAACGCUGGCGGCAGGCCUAACACAUGCAAGUCGAGCGGUAGCACAGAGAGCUUGCUCUCGGGUGACGAGCGGCGGACGGGUGAGUAAUGUCUGGGAAACUGCCUGAUGGAGGGGGAUAACUACUGGAAACGGUAGCUAAUACCGCAUAACGUCGCAAGACCAAAGUGGGGGACCUUCGGGCCUCAUGCCAUCAGAUGUGCCCAGAUGGGAUUAGCUAGUAGGUGGGGUAAUGGCUCACCUAGGCGACGAUCCCUAGCUGGUCUGAGAGGAUGACCAGCCACACUGGAACUGAGACACGGUCCAGACUCCUACGGGAGGCAGCAGUGGGGAAUAUUGCACAAUGGGCGCAAGCCUGAUGCAGCCAUGCCGCGUGUGUGAAGAAGGCCUUCGGGUUGUAAAGCACUUUCAGCGGGGAGGAAGGCGUUAAGGUUAAUAACCUUGGCGAUUGACGUUACCCGCAGAAGAAGCACCGGCUAACUCCGUGCCAGCAGCCGCGGUAAUACGGAGGGUGCAAGCGUUAAUCGGAAUUACUGGGCGUAAAGCGCACGCAGGCGGUCUGUCAAGUCGGAUGUGAAAUCCCCGGGCUCAACCUGGGAACUGCAUUCGAAACUGGCAGGCUAGAGUCUUGUAGAGGGGGGUAGAAUUCCAGGUGUAGCGGUGAAAUGCGUAGAGAUCUGGAGGAAUACCGGUGGCGAAGGCGGCCCCCUGGACAAAGACUGACGCUCAGGUGCGAAAGCGUGGGGAGCAAACAGGAUUAGAUACCCUGGUAGUCCACGCUGUAAACGAUGUCGAUUUGGAGGUUGUGCCCUUGAGGCGUGGCUUCCGGAGCUAACGCGUUAAAUCGACCGCCUGGGGAGUACGGCCGCAAGGUUAAAACUCAAAUGAAUUGACGGGGGCCCGCACAAGCGGUGGAGCAUGUGGUUUAAUUCGAUGCAACGCGAAGAACCUUACCUGGUCUUGACAUCCACAGAACUUUCCAGAGAUGGAUUGGUGCCUUCGGGAACUGUGAGACAGGUGCUGCAUGGCUGUCGUCAGCUCGUGUUGUGAAAUGUUGGGUUAAGUCCCGCAACGAGCGCAACCCUUAUCCUUUGUUGCCAGCGGUCCGGCCGGGAACUCAAAGGAGACUGCCAGUGAUAAACUGGAGGAAGGUGGGGAUGACGUCAAGUCAUCAUGGCCCUUACGACCAGGGCUACACACGUGCUACAAUGGCAUAUACAAAGAGAAGCGACCUCGCGAGAGCAAGCGGACCUCAUAAAGUAUGUCGUAGUCCGGAUUGGAGUCUGCAACUCGACUCCAUGAAGUCGGAAUCGCUAGUAAUCGUAGAUCAGAAUGCUACGGUGAAUACGUUCCCGGGCCUUGUACACACCGCCCGUCACACCAUGGGAGUGGGUUGCAAAAGAAGUAGGUAGCUUAACCUUCGGGAGGGCGCUUACCACUUUGUGAUUCAUGACUGGGGUGAAGUCGUAACAAGGUAACCGUAGGGGAACCUGCGGUUGGAUCACCU
rnacentral:rRNA from 1 species